rnacentral:rRNA from 1 species
AACGAACGCUGGCGGCAUGCCUAACACAUGCAAGUCGAACGGGAUCCUGGCUUCGGUCAGGUGAGAGUGGCGGACGGGUGAGUAACGCGUGGGAACCUGCCCAGUGGUGGGGGAUAACUGCGGGAAACUGCAGCUAAUACCGCAUGAGCCCGAGAGGGGAAAGAUUUAUCGCCAUUGGAGGGGCCCGCGUUCGAUUAGGUAGUUGGUGGGGUAAUGGCCUACCAAGCCGACGAUCGAUAGCUGGUCUGAGAGGAUGAUCAGCCACACUGGGACUGAGAUACGGCCCAGACUCCUACGGGAGGCAGCAGUGGGGAAUAUUGGACAAUGGGGGCAACCCUGAUCCAGCAAUGCCGCGUGAGUGAUGAAGGCCUCGGGUUGUAAAGCUCUUUUGCCAGGGACGAUGAUGACGGUACCUGGAGAAUAAGCCCCGGCUAACUUCGUGCCAGCAGCCGCGGUAAUACGAAGGGGCAAGCGUUGUUCGGAAUUACUGGGCGUAAAAGGCGCGUAGGCGGCUUAUCAAGUCAGGCGUGAAAAUUCCGGCUCAACCUGGGGCUGCGCUUGAUACUGAUG